CGGCCGCGUCGACCACAUGCAAGUCGAGCGAUGUAAAUUUUCUUACGGAAAAUGGAUUAGCGGCGGACGGGUGAGUAACACGUGGGUAACCUGCCCUAUAGAGAGGGAUAGCCUUCCGAAAGGGAGAUUAAUACCUCAUAAUAUCCUAGUAUCGCAUGAUAUAUGGAUUAAAGGAGCAAUCCACUAUAGGAUGGACCCGCGGCGCAUUAGCUAGUUGGUGAGGUAACGGCUCACCAAGGCGACGAUGCGUAGCCGACCUGAGAGGGUGAUCGGCCACAUUGGGACUGAGACACGGCCCAGACUCCUACGGGAGGCAGCAGGUGGGAAUAUUGGCACAAUGGGGGAAACCCUGAUGCAGCAACGCCGCGUGAGGGACUGGAGGCCUUCGGGUGUAAACCUCCUUGCCAGUGAAGCAGGCCUGGCUCCUGUGGUGGGUUG
rnacentral:rRNA from 1 species